CAAGUGCGUUUAGUGGGCAUCAGAAUCGAGAGUGUGAAAGAGUACUAGUAGAUUGUUGGAGUGAAGCUAAUAAGCUGCUGGAGUGGGUUUGGUUUGGUUUCAUCAGGAAGAACAACUAUGAUGAUCCUUUCAUCUUUCUAAAUAUCAGGAAUCAACCAUCCAAUCUCAUUGCGUAUCAAAUCUUUUCUAUUUCCACCCCCCUCUCUCUCGCAUUAAUAAAUUAAACAAUAAUCACUCCCACCAUACCACGUCUUCUUUCUUCUCUCUCUUAUUUAUUCUCAUGCUCGAUCACAUAUUAAAUACGCCACACCACAUGCUUUCCCUUACUUCUUUUCCUUGUAGUGGUAGCCUAAACAAAACCCCAAUCUGGCUUUGCUUCGUGCCUGGCUUGUGAUGUCUUCACGUGGGUUUAACAAAGGGUUGCUUACAGAGUUUCUUGGCAUUCUGUCCACCUCCACUUCCACUUUCAGUUCCAUGGAUCUCUCUCUCUUUUUGGCCCUAUCUACGUACUCGGAGGUGGACAUACUGCCAAUAGAGCUGUGUUGGCUUCUCUUUGUCAAGCUUCCGUGAUACUAUAAUCUCAAUUACAUACCAUAAUCACCUUUUUCCCAUAUUUCUUUUCUGGUUAUUAAUUAUGAGGAUCCCACUGUUCGCUGGCAAAAAAUUUGCUAUGGAAUCAGAUAAAGGGUAGCAUGCCUCAGGUCAAUUUCCGCUUGCAUCUGGUGUUAGAAACCCUAUAAUUUCGAUCCCUCCAUUCUUAGUAAACCCUAUGUUUCCCUUAGAAUUUGGGCAUUUCCUCGUUUCUUUAGUUCUACCGGUGUAGCAGAUGUUUGAUGUUUUUACUUUUUUUAACAUUUUGAAGUUGUGCAUGGUUGUUGUUCUUAGAAGUGGAAUCUAGGGUUUCUACUUUCUUUAGGGUGGUACCAUUUGCAACUUUGCAUCGCUUUAGGAGUAAAGGGAAUUUAAUAUUUUAUAUUUUUGAUAGCCAAAGCUUUCAUGGCUAGGAUCUGCAGUUUUUUGCAGAAGUGAAUAUUUAUUUUAGCAGGGGUGCAUGGAGAAAAGAUCUUUUUCUUU